UGGUUAAGCUACUUUUUAUUUGAAUAAGGAUUUUUUUUUUAAUUUUUGAGGGAAUAUUCUUUAAGGUCAAAGGUUAAAGACCAAAGAUCAAAAGGUUAAAGAUUAAAGGUCAAAGGCCAUAGGUCAUAGGUCAAAGGUUAAAGGUCAAAAGGUUAAAGGUCAAAGGUCAUAGGUCAAAAGGUUAUAGGUCAAAGGUUAAAGGUCAAAAGGUUAAAGGUCAAAAGGUUAAAGGUCAAAGGUCAUAGGUCAAAAGGUUAUAGGUCAAAGGUUAAAGGUCAAAAGGUUAAAGGUCAAAAGGUUAAAGGUCAAAGGUCAUAGGUCAAAAGGUUAUAGGUCAAAGGUUAAAGGUCAAAAGGUUAUAGGUCAAAGGUUAAAGGUCAAAAGGUUAUAGGUCAUAGGUCAAAGGUUAAAGGUCAAAGUCCUAGGUCAUGGGUCUAAGGUCAUAUGGUUAAAGGUCAUAGGUCAAAGGUUAAAGGUCAUAGAUCAUGGACCCGAUUCGGGACGCGACCCUAGUCGGGACUAAAGAGUUCUGCUCCUUUUUUUUUUAUCUUUGAAUCGAUGACUCAGGGGAGGACUGCGUUAGCUUUGCUUUCCCCAGA